GUCAUGUUGGUGAUUUCCUAUUCUGUUCAAUUUAGUACUCUCUUCCCUUUUCGUCAGUGUUCAUUAUUUGCCGCGUUUAGACUUUAUUUUGGGUUCUGUUUAAUCCAUGCCAAUCUAGUAUUAAUUUUGUAUUGUCAUAAUUGUUUUCCGUGCCAUAGGUUUGCUCUGUAUUUAAUUGCAGCCCUAGUAUCUUGAGUUCCGAUGUUUUGAGGGCUCCGUUUCAACCGCGUGGUUCAGUCUUGGCCGUCUUGGCGUGUCUCGGCGGCGAAUACAGCACAGCAGCAACUUGGUGUCUGCGGGGAGUCAGGUUGGCGACGACGGCACGUCUACAACUGGUGGCAGCUGGUGAGCCGUGUUCGGGCCCACGUCAUCGUCUGCCGUCGUCUUCGACAUGGUCUGGCUCCUGCAGCUGUUGUAGCCGCCUCCCUGAUCUCCGGCGCUGGACGCGCCUCUGCGGGUGACCUCGACUGCCGACCGCCGGCCGCCCGCCGGCCGCCGCCGACUGUGCCCGGCCAGUCUGGCUCGAGCCGCCGCCCGGCGCGCUGCGCUGCGGUCCGGUGUGCCGCUGCGCCGCUCUGAAGCCGCGUGCUGGUGUUCGUCUUCGGAUUUGUGCUGACGUGAGGACACCCAGCCCGCCUACGAUGGUCGACGUACCUGACACGGGCCCGUCCCAGUGUCGUCCACCGGCUCGACACGGACGGUGAGCUGGCUCGGUUGGCCAGCCGGGUGGCCGACUUGGAGGCCGCGGUCCGAUCUGCUGCUCCUCCGAACCGUUCGAGCCGCACCCCUGGGCGUCGAGAGGGCGAUGGCCCGCGGGUAUGUUUCUGUUGUGGUGGACGCGGACACACCCGUGACCGCUGUAGAUUGCGGAACCGAACUUGCUUUAGAUGUCAGACGGUUGGUCACAUUGCAGUGAUGUGUCCUCAGUCACCUCAGUCGCAGGGAAACGCGACUGGGUCCGGCCGUCGGGAGCCGAGCGGCCCGCCCCCCGGCGACCGGACCGCCCCGACUCUGACACCACCAAGUCAAUGACACUUGUGUCAUUGACUUGCGUUCUAAACGACUGUUCGUUACUCCGACAGAAGUCGUUCGCUCUGUUUCCGCUCAUGCUGUGUCCAUUGGUGACGUGUGCCUCUAUGCUGAGCGUGUGGUCGCCCCAGGCACUGAGGUAAUGUUGAACGGGUUUGUGCCUAAUACUGACUACCACGGCCCCGCCCUCGUUGAGCCCGUUGGUGAAUUUCAUGGAUU